rnacentral:rRNA from 1 species
AUAUUCAAAUGAGAACUUUGAAGACUGAAGUGGGGAAAGGUUCCACGUGAACAGCAAUUGGACGUGGGUUAGUCGUUCCUAAGGGAUAGGAGAAAUCCGUUGAAAGGUGGCCGUUUGGCCCUUUGACCGAAAGGGAAUCGGGUUAAUAUUCCCGAACCAGGACGUGGAUGUUGAGUGGCAACACGAGCGAAGCCGGGGACAGCUGCGGGGGCCCCGACGAGAGUUUUCUUUUCUUGUUAACGAGUGCAUCGACCCCGGAAUCGGAUUGCCCGGAGAUUGGGUCGACGGCUCGGGAAAGGCGGUUACUUUUGGACCGCUUCGGUGCGCCCUCGACGCUCCUUGAAAACCCGGCAGCGUGUCUUAUUCGCACUCCUGGACGUACUCAUCACCGCCGCAGGUCUCCAAGGUUAGCAGCCUCUAGUCGAUAGAAGAAUGUAGUUAAGGGAAGUCGGCAAAAUAGAUCCGUACCUUUGGAAAAAGGAUUGGCUCUCAGGGUUGGGCCUAGGGGUCUCCUGGCCGAUGUUGC